UACGAAGGGGGCUAGCGUUGCUCGGAAUUACUGGGCGUAAAGCGCACGUAGGCGGAUCCUUAAGUCAGGGGUGAAAUCCUGGAGCUCAACUCCAGAACUGCCUUUGAUACUGAGGACCUUGAGUUCGGGAGAGGUGAGUGGAACUGCGAGUGUAGAGGUGAAAUUCGUAGAUAUUCGCAAGAACACCAGUGGCGAAGGCGGCUCACUGGCCCGAUACUGACGCUGAGGUGCGAAAGCGUGGGGAGCAAACAGG
rnacentral:rRNA from 1 species